CGUACACUCCUACGGGAGGCAGCAGUGGGGAAUAUUGGACAAUGGGCGCAAGCCUGAUCCAGCCAUGCCGCGUGAGUGAUGAAGGCCCUAGGGUUGUAAAGCUCUUUCACCGGUGAAGAUAAUGACGGUAACCGGAGAAGAAGCCCCGGCUAACUUCGUGCCAGCAGCCGCGGUAAUACGAAGGGGGCUAGCGUUGUUCGGAUUUACUGGGCGUAAAGCGCACGUAGGCGGACUAUUAAGUCAGGGGUGAAAUCCCGGGGCUCAACCCCGGAACUGCCUUUGAUACUGGUAGUCUUGAGUUCGAGAGAGGUGAGUGGAAUUCCGAGUGUAGAGGUGAAAUUCGUAGAUAUUCGGAGGAACACCAGUGGCGAAGGCGGCUCACUGGCUCGAUACUGACGCUGAGGUGCGAAAGCGUGGGGAGCAAACAGGAUUAGAUACCCCGGUAGUCCCAUGAU
rnacentral:rRNA from 1 species